GACGAACGCUGGCGGCGUGCUUAACACAUGCAAGUCGAACGAAGUGGCGAACGGGUGAGUAACGCGUAAACAAACUGCCCUUCAGAGGGGGACAACCGGUGGAAACGACUGCUAAUACCGCAUAUUGUAGGAGGGGGUUGGGUGUGAUUAGCUAGUUGGGGGGGUAACGGCCCACCAAGGCGAUGAUCAGUAGCCGGUCUGAGAGGAUGAACGGCCACAUUGGGACUGGGACACGGCCCAGACUCCUACGGGAGGCAGCAGUGGGGAAUCUUCCGCAAUGGACGAAAGUCUGACGGAGCAACGCCGCGUGAGUGAUGACGGCCUUCGGGUUGUAAAGCUCUGUUAAUCGGGACGCGGUACCGGAAUAGAAAGCCACGGCUAACUACGUGCCAGCCGCCGCGGUAAUUC
rnacentral:rRNA from 1 species